rnacentral:rRNA from 1 species
AUGUGGAAGAUCCCGUAUGUGAACGAGGUCUUGCCAGACCUCGAAAUUCUGAUUCGCCAUCUUGAAGCGGUGGUGGCUCGUCUGGGCGGGAAAGGUGGCCUUGGCACUUCCCACACAUCGACACCCGCGCCGGCUCAAGUGUCAUCUCGGCUGGAGAAACUCGAUGCAGCUCAUGCGGGGAUCACUCAAGGACUUCGCCGCCUCGAGAAGGAAGGGCCGCACCUAGAGGGACGCCUUGCCGACCUCGCCUCCAUCUGCAACAGACAAAAGAAGUUGGCCGAAGAACAUCGGAUGCUUGCCGGCACACAUCAGCAACUUGCCGAGGAGUACAAGGCCCUCUGCGAGAAAGAAACAGAGAUGGCGGCACUGGCUGAAAAGCGCACAGGCGUCCUAGCUGACAUGAUGACUUCUAUCUCCCGCCAUCUUGAAGCUCAUGAAGAUGUGGUCCGGAGUUCAUCACAGGUGGCCGAGUCAUACACAAGACGCCGUGCGGAGGCGACUGCCUUCCUGGCCGCCGGCGGAACGCUUCCGGAAAUCGCGACGAUCCUAGCAUACAAAGCUCCUGAGUGA